UACGAAGGGGGCUAGCGUUGUUCGGAAUUACUGGGCGUAAAGCGCACGUAGGCGGACUACUAAGUCAGGGGUGAAAUCCCGGGGCUCAACCCCGGAACUGCCUUUGAUACUGAUAGUCUCGAGUCCGGAAGAGGUGAGUGGAAUUCCGAGUGUAGAGGUGAAAUUCGUAGAUAUUCGGAGGAACACCAGUGGCGAAGGCGGCUCACUGGACCAACACUGACGCUGAGGAGCGAAAGCCAGGGGAGCAAACGGG
rnacentral:rRNA from 1 species